rfam:Pseudomonas sp. VI4.1 NODE_95_length_22657_cov_29.6036, whole genome shotgun sequence.
CUCGAUGGUAGCUGUGCGCAGGGCGCCUUCGGGCGCGCCGGUUUGCUGGAUCCCCGGUCUGCUAACCUGCGUACAGCUGCCUCCCUU